AAGGUCAGAGUGACUGGUUCGCCAAACGUGGAAUCAACUGGCACAUUUCAGUAACCUUAUACAAACAAGGGAAAGAACUAAAGACAAUUACACAUGUACACAUUUUUUCAUCCCAGAUAUCUCAAGAUGGUUCUGUUACUGCUUCUGUGUUGUGUGAUGUAGUUCAUGAUCUGAGAAAACAAGUACCAAACAUGCAGGAGGUGAACUUCUUCUCAGACAAUGCAGGAUGUUAUAAGAACACAAUGAUGAGGGUAGCACUUAAAGAUGAACUUGGAGAUAAGUUGAAAACAUACAACUUCAGUGAAGCACAGGAUGGCAAAGGUCCAUGUGACCGCAGGGCUUCACAUAUCAAGGCAUGUGUUAGAAGAUACAUUAAUGAGGGACAUGAUGUCACAUCUGCAGAGGAGAUGAAAAAGG